rnacentral:lncRNA from 1 species
GAAGAAACAGAGGGGGGGGUCCUGGUGCCCCCAUUGCCCUGCCGGGCUGCGCUUCGGAGCAGGAGACCGAAAGCCUUGGGCGUGAGCGUGGGCACGGCGUGUGCAAGGCGUGUGCAAGGCACACGAGUGUAAGCCCAGCGUGUGCAAGGCGUGCAAGCGUGGGUACCCAACAGCCGGGGCGCACAGCAGUGGAGGAGCACGCGUGGGUUUUCCAGGCACCCCCUGCCCCUGCGCUCUCCUGGGGCGCCGGGCACGUCCCCGGUGCCGGUGCUGCUCGCCGUCACCCGGCCGUGUGGCACCGGGUGCUCCGUCCCAACCACCUCCCCCCCACGUCUGUGGUCCCUGCGGCGGGGCAGCAGCCCUGACCCCAUUGCCUGCCACCCAUGGGUGCCCCUGAAAUCGGGGUGCGCCCGCUUCGCCCCUGCCGAGCUUUGCAAUUUGCCCUCACCCCAGGCAGCCCGGAGCGCCGUGCUCUGCUCGAGCGCUCUCGGAGCUCGCUGGCAGCAAACGGGGCUCCGAGUCUGACCCGGAGCAUGGGGAAAGGCGUGAAUCCCCAGAGAUUAGAGGGUUGGGUUGUUGGUUUUUUUUUUUUUUUUUUUUUUUUUUUCUCCACAAAGCCAUUCAGGGCCUGGAAAGGCUGCCUCUGUCCCCUCGAACCAGUCCGGCUCGCCGGCACUGCUAUGCAAAUCGGUCAGAGCUUUUGCAGGCGACAUUGGGACCUGGAUGUGCAGGAGCUGCCGGGUGCUCGCCGGGUCUGACAAGGGCUCCUCGCUCCGGGCCGGCUCAGAGGGGAGAGGCUGCGGUCCAGCCAGAAAUGGUUUCCUGGCCAUCCCCGUGUACAAAGCUGCAGGACGCCGUGCGCCCCCUCCCAGGGUCCGAGCCGCCCCCCGGCCUCCAGCGCCGUGCGCCGCGGCCGCAUGCAGUCGCGUGUUGGUGCCAUCACCCCCGGAUCGCUCCCCGGCCGGGAAGCCACCUCGAGACGUCCCCGAAGACCCCAAAGAUGUGCCGGUGGCUGGAGCGAAGGGAAAAAGGGACCAAAAACCUACCGGGACCGGCCGCCCCGGUGUGCCCCGUGCCCCCCGGCCCCGCGGAUAAUAGCGGGGCUGCGGGGGCGAUUUCACGGAGAUUAACCCCGCGCCUCGCGCUGGGGCUGCCGCUGCCCUCGACACCACUCCCCGAGUGUAUCAAAGGCGGAUUACAACCAGAUCAGCCCCGUGGCCGGAUUUAUUAGCGGCAAUUUAUCACGCGGAGGCAGCCGGGGAGGGUGGAAGGCCAAGGGCAGGGGCGGAGGAGCCCGGCCUCCCUGCGGGGACCCGCGGCAUCGGCGGGGAGACCCCGGUUGAAUUUUUGGGACGGGGUCGCUGUUUCCUCCCAGUUCCCCAAGGAUUUUGGUGCAGGUUGGGAAAAAGCAGCUCAAGGCGGGGAAGAGGGGAAGCCUUCAGCCUCGCCGCACACCGGGGCUGGGGAAGGGGGACGGGCGCCCGGCACCGCUCUGGGAGGGCCGGAGGGUGCCGAAGCCCCUCGGGGCCGGGGACGUCGCACGGGGCACACCCAUGGGGCACACGGAGUGUGGCACGAGGCUCACACCGAUGCCACCAGACCCCAGCGGCCACCCCGGGCACCCCCAGCCCCUGCGGCGCGGGGACACCCGGCUGCGGGCGCGCGGCUCAGUCGGGGGAAGGAGCCUGGAAGAGGUUAAAGUGGGGCGAGCGGGGAGAGAAGCCUCGGAACGGGGCGUUUUAAUGACAUUCCAUUAAAGCUCCCUUUGGGGCCAGCGCGGCCGCCAUGUGCUCCACAUUCUCAUGGUAAUUAUGAGACAUCUGUAUAGAGGCUCUUUUCUCAUCAAAGAUGGCUCUCUUCAAAGACACUCCUGGGAAACCCUUCACCUCUGACCCGGGGGGUCAGCGCUGAAACAGUGGCUCUAUAGUGCGCGUUACUGUAAAGCCGAGUAUCCUUUUUCCUCCGCUAACCUGACCAGGUCCCGGCUUUUCAUGCGGGCCCGCGUUGAGCCGAGGGGGUGGGGGGCACCGGUUCGGGGACGGGUCCCCCCCCCACCCCUCCGGCGGUCACCGUUUCGGCAGCCCCGGCCACGGGUGCCGCCGCCGCCCGCGCUGACCCCGGCCGUGGCGAUCAAAGCGGGAAGAAAAGGGUUUUAAUGAGUGGGGCCGGGGCGGCGUUCUCCCUUCCCGAUGUCCUCCUCCCCGCUGCGCCACGGCAAAUCCCACCCCGGCUCCUGCGCCAAGUCCCUGGGGGUGAUUUUGGGGGGUCAUGAUACGAAAACAGCCCUCUCCAAACGGUGUUCCCAUUGCCGGGGACGUGCUCCACGGUGCCACCGGGCUCAACGCCGGUUCUGCAGCGUGGCGAGGCCACCCCGUGUCCCCGCAUCCCACGGGGACGUUUCCACCCCAAACAGCAUCGCCGCCCUCGGUGUCCCCCGGGUGCCACCUCCCCGGGGCAGGGGACAGCGGGGCGGAGGGGACGGGUGCUUGGCGGUCCCUCCCUUGGGGUGGCUCCGUCCCUCCGGCACGGCAGCGGCGCACGAUCCCCGCGGCCCUUUCCAAUAAGUGGCAAAUGAUUCUUCGUCCUGUCGCUCCCCGGCGGCAAUAAACCUUAAUCACAAUGAAGUCAUUUGAUUUCCGCGUCCUGUAAUCGCGCGGCGAUUUGGCGUUAAUUAACGAGCGCUUACGGGAAGGGACGGCUGCGGGAGAGAGCGCUGCGCUUUUCC